rnacentral:lncRNA from 1 species
UGAUGAGUGUGCUUGGUUUGGCAAAGUGGUAAGAAAAGAAACACCAGCAGAUGGAAUCAAACAGCACAGUUCUGCAUUCCCAAAUUCUCCACCAAAAUAAUGGGAAACGAGUGGUAUUACGUAAUUUAAAAUUCAGUUAAUUCAAUUAAUACUGAAGCGAAUAUAGGAAUAUCCACUGAACUGCCAAGGACUGCAUGCAAUAGUUCUGAGCUCAGAGCCUUAAUUGCUACAGUCAGUGCUUAUCCCAAGAACUCAGAGGGCUGUGUGUUUGUUUACUUCUUGGGCUUUCCUGCCUGUAACUUUGUCCACGUGCAGUGGGGCAGCAUGCUGCCUCCUGUUUGCUGGUGGUGAAACCAUGACUGAUUUCCACGGGGCUCCAGACCUGGACGGACAUUUCUGGUGCUCUUACAGCUGUUACAGUCAGUACGCUAGCAGAACCUCCCAUGGGGCCGGUGCUGCUGAUGGCUCCAAGGAGAAGCACUGUCCGUGCAGGAGGCCAUGCCCACUGUCCUGACCACCUGGAGGUUUCUCACAUCUCGCGUUUAAAGUGUUGAUGUAGACAGACACAAACUUAUUUAGCUUCUGCCUUGGACUUUGGUUCCUAAUUUACUGGAGGGGGUGAAAGAGGCAGCCAAUUUCUUAAAACCAACCAAAACUUUGUUUCUUGAUUUCAGUACCAGGUUUGUGGAACAGACAAAGUUUUCUCCUGUAUCUCCUGCAGGAAAGCAGUUCUGACUCACUACUCUUUUAUUUCCUGUAGUCUUUUUGUUGAACUUCACUUACUUUUGAAUUUCACUGGGUGUUAUUUAUUGAGGUAACACUGGUCUUUAUUGUGUUGCAAUGUAGAUCAACGCUUGUAUUUGUCCUUCAGCUGUUUGUUUUAGGUAUAGAGUUUAAUUUUAGCCAAAUACAAAUAACAGCUCAAAUUUACUUCUGCAAUUGCAAAAUACUGGUUGCACAACUGCUGUCCUGUACUUCAGAUGUCCACAAGAAAAUCAUUUGCCAAUAAUUCUUUCUAUUUGUUUUGACUUAGUUCCAAAAAAAAACCAAAAAAAACCACCCAACCCCAACACCUCAGGUCCUUUGUUAUGGGCUGAAGACAGCUUUGCUUGCUGGGCCAAACCUUGCUCCUUUGUUGUGGCACAAUGCUGAGACACAUCAGACUGAAUAUGAAAAUAUCCAGAAGGUCUGCAACACUGAAACAAAACUCACCCUGGAGGAAACACCUAUGGAGCCUUUGUGCCUCCAUUUGCAGAGGGACCAAGUUCUGCAAAUCAGUGAGAAAUUAAAUUAGCAUAAAUCAAAGCUCAGUGUAAGGGUAAAACUAAGCAUAAACUGAGCAUUGCUUUAAAUAUGCUGCUUACCCAACUGCUUCAGUAGAAAAGUGUUUUGCAAUAUGGUUCUCCUCAUCUUGAAACAACCGUUGGGAAACAUUGGUAAGUUUUUUCUUUUGCAGAGGGAUAGAAUGCUGCCACGUGGUCCACCU